rnacentral:lncRNA from 1 species
AUCCAAUAUAGGUCUGCAUUGAACAUUACUUAUUAGUAAAAUAUCCUUUUAAAAACAUAAACCACAUCAUUACAUACUUUUUCUUAAAAUUAUUCAAUGUUUUUCAUCAAUAUUGAAAUUCAAUGGAAACUUAUAACUGCGGCAAAUUAACUCCAAUCGAUCUAUUCUUAGCAUACCUGAUCAACUUCCUUCCCUAUAUCAUCAUGCUUCACAUCCACCAGUGUAUAGAGUUACUUUCCUUUUAUUUCUUUCAACUUCCUGUUCAUUCCCAACUGAUACUUUUCCAUCUGUCGUUUCUUAUUCCUAGACUAUUAUUACCCCUCAUUUCUAAUGUCUAGUUUCUCUUGGGUGCAAUUUUCUUUUAACAUUCAUUGGGUAACAGUCAGAUUCUUGCUAAGCAGACAAGUCACUUUAAAACACUUCAUAUUAUUCUUUAUUAAAUAGGUGUAUCCCAAUUUUACACUGUCCAUUCUAGAUAGCUAGCUAGGCAUCAUCUACCUGUCAUUCAUUUGUUAAGCAAGCAACCUGAGAAAGGAUCUUAGCUUGUCUUGUAAAGCAAUGUAUCUCAGAACAUAGUAAGUGUGUAUAAGUAUCUGUAGGUUGAUUUCAGGAUGCAUUUCCUUCUAGCUCUUAUCACUACUAAAGUGCUUUGUUAUUGGAAAACAAAGCACUUCUAUUAAGUCCCACAAAGUGGAAAAUAGUUUAUUAAGACGUAUCAACUUUUUUGUAUUUCUAAUAUCCCAGGUGAUGCUCAGUAUAUUAAGGGACACAAUAACGUAUGUUUUUUAAGGUAACUACAUUUGAAACCAAUUAAUCUAGUUUAAUGUAGGUGAUCAACACACCAUUAGGAAAUCAUUGCAUUCAUAUGUUUAUAUACAUGACAAAUAUUAUAAAACUAGUGUUUUGAGAUGCAAAAGGCAAUAUUCUCUUAUAAGAUUCAUGAGUCCAUUAAGCUGGUACUAAUUAAAAUACAUAUCUAUAUCCAUAAAAGUCAAAUUCAUAAUUUAUGUAUUCAAGUUAAAAAUUCUAAUUCAGAAUUCAAAUGUAUGUUUAUAUAGAUUUAUAAGGCAUUUACCUAAUGCUUUUUCAUAAUUUAGAAUAAAACCUGAUUCUAGGCCAGGAGCCGUGGCUCAUGCCUGUAAUCCCAACACCUUGGAAGGCCGAGGAGGGCGGAUCACGAGGUCAGGAAAUCGAGACCACCCUAGCUAAUAUGGUGAAACCCCGUCUCUACUGAAAAUACAAAAAAUUAGCCGGAUAUGGUGGUGGGCCCUGUAGUCCCAGCUACUCGGGAGGCCCAGGCAGGAGAAUGAUGUGAACCUAGGAGGCGGAGCUUGCAGUGAGCUGAGAUGGCACCACUGCACUCCAGCCUGGGUGACACAGCGAGACUCCGUCUCAAAAAAAACCAAAAAAACAAACACACACAAAAAAACCUGAUUCUA